UGGCCAGGGGCCCCCUCUCCCUAGCACACGUAAACACCCCACAGGCAGAAGUUGGGUGGGGCCAGAUGCUAAAGCUUGAGUAUCUGGGCUGGUGGUGUUCUUGUGCCUUUAGAGGCAAGGCUUGGCUGAAAGGAGAAAGGGGCACAGCGCCUGGGUCUCAAGAGAAGGGGAUAGGUCUUCUGAUGUCGCCUCUUACCCUGUUGCAAACGCCAGGAGGACAGAGAGGAAAGCCAGCAGCUUUUAGAGGACAGGUACAGAGCACAGGCGCAGUGUGCACCCAAGACCACGUUUUUGCAUUGCAUGGUGCUACCCUUCCGAAGUUAACAGUGGACUAAGGAUUGCAGGGGGGAGGUUAGAAUUUGUCCGUGAGUACAGGCACCUCUCAACCUAAAGAAUGGAGUGGAAUACGCCCCCUGAGUUCUCAUGCCCUUCCAACAUUGCUCCCUGAGCUGGGCAGUUCUGGCAUUUCGGAAGCUCCUGUCCUGGCCCUUAGCAAAGGAUGUCGAUGUACCUAGGUGUUAGGUAGCAACUGGCCAGCCCACACAGGCGCUUGGCUUUGGGGAUGUCCAUGCUGCAGGCUGGGCAUUAUGAACACUGCCAAAGGAGAGCAGGAGCUCAUCCAUGCUGAGGGUGGGUGCUGGGCUGCUGCCUGGUGGCUUGGAAAGGCUGGCUCACUGCCGCUAGUCUGGCUUACCAGAGUGGGUCUCCUGUUGGAGUGAAGGCUGGAGGCCCAUGCCUUAGCGGGGCCUUCAGCUUGGACGCUGGGAAUGGACAGGGAGCUGAGCUCCAUGACAGGCCACACCCCUCUGAUGGGUCCUGCCGCGUUUGCAGAAGCAACAAUAAGGGAGGGAGAGGGGGAGCCCAAGGUAGAGGGAGUCCUGCGGCAGUGGUGUCCCUCUGUCGUCCUCCACCCAGGGCUGAGCUCAGUGCCUCCCGUGUGCCAGGCGCAGGACAGAACACCGACAGAGCUCCCGGCUGUCUUUCCCAGGGCUCGGCCGGUGGGCCUGAAGGUCUGUGUGUUCUGUGUGCACAGAGGGUGUUCUCGCCUGCGUAUAGUCAAUAGGCAGGCAGGAGAUUCCCACUGUACCUGUGAUCCUCCCAUGCCCCAGCUGCCACCCCUGCUGUGGGCCGUAAUUCAAGGAGCUUAGAGGAACAAGGUGGAAUUAUAGGAAACAAAUUUACAUUUCGAGGCGAUGGAUGUGCCAUAGAAAUGCAGAAAGGAAAGGCCAUUACGGCCAGGGUUGUUCAUGGAAGGUUUGAUGGACAAGUUGAGCUUCAGGCUGAGGCUGGAUGGAGGGGUAGGUUUUGAACUGACAGAGAAAACAGGGCCCAGCAAGUGCAGGAAAGUGGAGACAGCAGGGUAGAAUGGGUGGUGGAGACGGGACAGGGGAGCCACAGCUGGAUGCCAGGGCUUUUCACAGGCCUCUCUCACUUCGUCCUCUGAGUGGGCUCGGACCCCAUUUAGCAGACAGGAGAACGGAGGCUCGGAGAGUCUGAGAUCUCCAGGCAGACCUGAGCCCUCUUCUUUGAACCACGGUACCCUUGCCAUGGGACCGCAUUGGACUUGCAGAGUGGGAGCAGCUGACAGAGCGCCUGAGUCGCAGGCCGAGCAGCUUAGCUGUGGCCAGUGCGUGCAUGAUGUGGGUGAGAGAGGCAGAAAGGUGGAGGCUCCUUUGGGGGCGGGGGAAUGGAGAGUAACUGCAGUGGGCCUUGGUAAGGAAGACUGGCAGAAUGGGAGAUUGACUGAGUGAGUGAAAGGGGUCAAAACUGGACUCCAAGCUCUUGAGCAUGAGUAUUUGGGUCCCUUGUGAAUUCAGUGAAGCCGCCUCACCAUCCUGAGGGCCCACGUCACUGUCUGCAGACUGUCACGUAAAGGAGGAAACGUUGCCAGUCCUCUCCCAGCUCCUACGCUUGCUGCCUACCAUCUCUUAGCUCCAACCAGGCCGGAAUCUUCUAGAGACUAAGGUUGUUGGACACAGCAUCAAGUCAAAUGCUCAGUAACUGAUUAUUGGAGAAUUAAUGCAGGAAAGCAAGUAACCUUUGCUGUGUGGCUGGUUUCUGAGUGGCGGGCCCUGUAAGACGCGUGCUGGGUAAAGGAUAGGGGAAUUGCAUUGCCUGUGGGCAGAGAAUGGGGCACCCUUCUCUUGAGCUGACUUCAAAUUUCUUAUAACCCAAUGGGACUGAGGAAAGAGCAUAGGUUUUAGAGCCAGAGGUUUGAAACUCUGCUUAUCACUUACUCUGUGUUGCUUCAGGAAAAGUGCUCAGCUUCUCUGAGCUCCAGUUCUUUCCUCUGUAAAAAUGUUAAUUCAAGUAAUAGCAGGUCAGACUUGUUGCACACUUGCUAUAUGUAAGCCCCAAUGCAAAGCACAUUUAUGCAUCAGCUUGUUGAAAAUUCCACCAAACCUAGGACUCUGGAGAUAGGAAGAAACAAAGAUUCAACAUUUAUGUAACUGGUACAUGGUGCACUAGUGCUGAGAUGUGAACCCAGGGGUAUCCAAGCUCUGAACCACCACCCUGCAGCACUUCCUUAGGAUGGGGGUAACAGUAAGGGUAUUAACCUACACCCGUAGGGUUGUUGUGAGAGGUAAGGGGUCCACGUGUCUGGCAAUGAGCACGUCUCAGUAAAUGGUAGUCUCUCUCUCAGCGUGGCUCCCAUGGCCGCCACUCUGAGCCAGACACUUUCCUGGAAACAGAUGAGGACUCAGUCCAGUCCUUUGGAAGCUCGUAGGUCGUGACCCAGAGGGUUCCAUGGCCCUGUCCCUGACCUUUCACCCUCCAGGUUUGAUCUCCAGGCUUAGCUGUGCGUCACUUCCUGCCAGGAAGUCUGGGACUCUGUGCACCAGAGUGUUUUCGGAGAAGGAUACUAGGAUUACACACCCCUCCAAAUGAUCCUCAGCUCAACUCCAUUUGGCUCUUUGAGAGGGCCCCCCAAAACCUGGAUCCUCCCCUGUCCCCUGCCCUCGGGGAGCUGCCCAGAUCCACAGCCACCCUUGGAGCACAGCCAGCCAGAAAGGCGGAAUUGCAGAUGGCAGAGCUGUGUGCAGCUGUGGGACUCCUCAAAGCCGUCUUGGGUUAUAUUCCUGGAAAAGGCACUGCAGGACAAAAAGAAGAAGCUGAUCUUGCUCCUUUUCCACGGAUUGAGCUUUAGAACAUUCUGGGGCUGCCGGAUGCUGUUCAGUGGGUGCUGAGGGGUAGAGACCCUACGGUCUCCCACCGCGAGCCUCGCUGUCCUCCUGCUGCCAGAUUUGCCAGAGAGAAUGCUUGAUGCCGCCGGGCCCUCCCGCCAGGCAGACCUCUGACAAAGUCACCACCAGAGGGGACUUUCAGCCAGGGCUGGCUCCAGUCAGCUUCUGAAACAAGAGGUGCUUUCUUCCUUGCACAACCUUCAGAGAAAAGGGGAACAACUUGACAUCCCAAAGGGCUUCUUGGAAGCAGGGGACAAGGUUAAUCAAGGAAAGAUGGGGCAGGAGGCAUCGAGGGCCCCCUGACUGGUGCUCUGAAGCUUGUGCUUUUUGACUUUGGCUGGGAGAGGGGCAACCAUUUAAGAAAGUGGGUAGGAACAGGGUGAAUAUGGUAUAAUGUAAAUAUAAUGUUUUUAAUUGUUUUCUUUUCACUGGAACUUUCUUUGUGAUAAGUAUAAAAAUAGCACACACACCUUCAGAGAUUCUGCUGCAUCUUGCCCCAGAACGUUGCCCUCUUUGAGAAUUAUUGUUUUUCUGUGUAUCUGCACUAGCUAAGACCAUUUUAUCAAGCCCGACUUACUCUAGUUUUUAUUAUAAAAAAUAAUUUUUAUUUUCCAAAUACAGAAUUAUAGUAUCAUUUGGAUAUGCUUUUUCAAUCUCUGUGUAAAUCCCAAAUUGGAGAUUAAGCUCCCCCAUCCCUCCCCAUUGGAGAAUCACUGAAUCACUGCCCUAAUAUCCAGCACGAGAAAGCAGAAAGCAUUGGCCGUGCUGGGCCGGGACUCUUCCAGGACCCAGUUGUCUCUUGGCCGAGUCGCUCUCCCCAUCCCUCGACAUCAGGGUCUUCUUUGGUCAUUGGGCCCACAGUAAGAAAUUCAGUAAGUAUACGUUGCAUGAAUCUUACACUAUUGAAUUAUCAUCACAUGCUUGGCACAGUGCUAGCACCUGGUGUGUGCCAAGGUACACCUAAGUGUUAGCUGUUGUUCCUAAGCUCCCCGACACGCUGCCUCCUCCACGUGUCCUGUAGUCUGCCCUCUGUUAGGAAGCUCUGGCAGCAAAGAUGCUAAUUUCUUAAGGUGCCCUGGAACAGCUCUCAGCAUCCUCUGUUCCGCAGAACUAUGUGUCACCUCCAGAUGGUGACCAACUGUCCAGAUACCGGCUUCUUUAGGUCAUGUCAGAAGCCUAGUACAGUGCUCACACACAGGAGGGCUCACCGAAUGUUUGUUGAGGGCGUGAGUGGCAGGCCCGGUGCCCUCCACUCAGCAGCCUCUGCGGUCAGGUGAGGUGGAGCCUGGGGAGCCUCCUUAGGGAGCAGUGACGCCUCUCCACUUGUGCUUUCUGUGCGUGGGGCUCUGACUCACAGCACAUGAUUCGGGCUUGAAGAUCAUUCCGCGAGCCCGUCUUUCUAGCGUGGUCAGGGGCUUCUGGGAGGCCAGUACCACCCUGCUGCCGACAGUUUGGUUCUGUGUUCUCCCUUGACUGUGUUGAACAGGUCUGGACUUUGGAGAGCUCCUCCUUCCAGCUGCCCUUGGUCACUUCCCAGCUGUGUCAGCUGCAGGCUCAGGCUCUGUAGGGCCAUAAAUCUCAGUUCUUUCCCUAUCAGGCCCCAGCCUGGACCUGGUGGACACCUCUGCCGUGCAAUGGAGACCCCUGCAGUUCCCAGAUGUGCCGAUCUGUCUAUUUGUCCCCAAGUGCUGUUUCUCAAAACCUGAACAUAUUCUUCCCGUGUGAUCCAUCAACCACCUUCCUAGACGUGGCCCGAAGAAAUGAAGACUUAGGUCCACAUAAAAGCUUGUACGUGAGCGUUCACAGCAAUUUCAUUCGUAUUAGUCCCAAGUGGGAAACAACCCGAACGUCAUUCAACAGGUGAACAGUUAGACAAACUGUGGGACAUCCAUGCUGCAGAGCACGACCCAGCAACCAGAAACGAUGAACUGUUGACGCACACCACGCGUUGGAUGGAUGUCACGGGCGUUCUGUGGAGUGAAAAAAGUCAGCUUCGAAAGGGCACAUACUGCAUGAUUCCAUUUAUGUGACAUUCUCAAAAUGACAUAGUUAUACAGAUGGAGAGCAGAUUAGUGGCUGGCAGGGGUUGGGGAGGAGGGGUGGUUAAGGACGAGCAGAGGGGUAUGUGUGACUGCAGAGGGAUCUCUGCAAAUGGAGUAGUUCUCUGUCUUGAUUAUAGAGGUGGUUACACGAAUCUAUGCGUGAUAAAAUUGCAUGAAACUACACACACACACCCCCAUGUAAAACUGGUGAAAUCUGAAUGUCUGUGGAUUGUACCAAUGUCCAUUUCCUGGCUUGAAAAAAAAAAGGAGCCAGUCAUGAUGGCCUAGUGGUUAAAAUUCAGUGCUCUUUUGGGGCCGGCCCAGUGGC